UAGAUUAAGUUAUUAAGGGCGCACGGUGGAUGCCUUGGCACUAGAAGCCGAUGAAGGACGUUACUAACGACGAUAUGCUUUGGGGAGCUGUAAGUAAGCUUUGAUCCAGAGAUUUCCGAAUGGGGAAACCCAGCAUGAGUUAUGUCAUGUUAUCGAUAUGUGAAUACAUAGCAUAUCAGAAGGCACACCCGGAGAACUGAAACAUCUUAGUACCCGGAGGAAGAGAAAGAAAAUUCGAUUCCCUUAGUAGCGGCGAGCGAAACGGGAAGAGCCCAAACCAACAAGCUUGCUUGUUGGGGUUGUAGGACACUCUAUACGGAGUUACAAAGGACGACAUUAGACGAAUCAUCUGGAAAGAUGAAUCAAAGAAGGUAAUAAUCCUGUAGUCGAAAAUGUUGUCUCUCUUGAGUGGAUCCUGAGUACGACGGAGCACGUGAAAUUCCGUCGGAAUCUGGGAGGACCAUCUCCUAAGGCUAAAUACUCUCUAGUGACCGAUAGUGAACCAGUACCGUGAGGGAAAGGUGAAAAGCACCCCGGAAGGGGAGUGAAAUAGAACCUGAAACCGUGUGCUUACAAGUAGUCAGAGCCCGUUAAUGGGUGAUGGCGUGCCUUUUGUAGAAUGAACCGGCGAGUUACGAUUUGAUGCAAGGUUAAGCAGUAAAUGUGGAGCCGUAGCGAAAGCGAGUCUGAAUAGGGCGUUUAGUAUUUGGUCGUAGACCCGAAACCAGGUGAUCUACCCUUGGUCAGGUUGAAGUUCAGGUAACACUGAAUGGAGGACCGAACCGACUUACGUUGAAAAGUGAGCGGAUGAACUGAGGGUAGCGGAGAAAUUCCAAUCGAACCUGGAGAUAGCUGGUUCUCUCCGAAAUAGCUUUAGGGCUAGCCUCAAGUGAUGAUUAUUGGAGGUAGAGCACUGUUUGGACGAGGGGCCCCUCUCGGGUUACCGAAUUCAGACAAACUCCGAAUGCCAAUUAAUUUAACUUGGGAGUCAGAACAUGGGUGAUAAGGUCCGUGUUCGAAAGGGAAACAGCCCAGACCACCAGCUAAGGUCCCAAAAUAUAUGUUAAGUGGAAAAGGAUGUGGCGUUGCCCAGACAACUAGGAUGUUGGCUUAGAAGCAGCCAUCAUUUAAAGAGUGCGUAAUAGCUCACUAGUCGAGUGACACUGCGCCGAAAAUGUACCGGGGCUAAACAUAUUACCGAAGCUGUGGAUUGUCCUUUGGACAAUGGUAGGAGAGCGUUCUAAGGGCGUUGAAGCAUGAUCGUAAGGACAUGUGGAGCGCUUAGAAGUGAGAAUGCCGGUGUGAGUAGCGAAAGACGGGUGAGAAUCCCGUCCACCGAUUGACUAAGGUUUCCAGAGGAAGGCUCGUCCGCUCUGGGUUAGUCGGGUCCUAAGCUGAGGCCGACAGGCGUAGGCGAUGGAUAACAGGUUGAUAUUCCUGUACCACCUAUAAUCGUUUUAAUCGAUGGGGGGACGCAGUAGGAUAGGCGAAGCGUGCGAUUGGAUUGCACGUCUAAGCAGUAAGGCUGAGUAUUAGGCAAAUCCGGUACUCGUUAAGGCUGAGCUGUGAUGGGGAGAAGACAUUGAGUCUUCGAGUCGUUGAUUUCACACUGCCGAGAAAAGCCUCUAGAUAGAAAAUAGGUGCCCGUACCGCAAACCGACACAGGUAGUCAAGAUGAGAAUUCUAAGGUGAGCGAGCGAACUCUCGUUAAGGAACUCGGCAAAAUGACCCCGUAACUUCGGGAGAAGGGGUGCUCUUUAGGGUUAACGCCCAGAGGAGCCGCAGUGAAUAGGCCCAAGCGACUGUUUAUCAAAAACACAGGUCUCUGCUAAACCGUAAGGUGAUGUAUAGGGGCUGACGCCUGCCCGGUGCUGGAAGGUUAAGAGGAGUGGUUAGCUUCUGCGAAGCUACGAAUCGAAGCCCCAGUAAACGGCGGCCGUAACUAUAACGGUCCUAAGGUAGCGAAAUUCCUUGUCGGGUAAGUUCCGACCCGCACGAAAGGCGUAACGAUUUGGGCACUGUCUCAACGAGAGACUCGGUGAAAUCAUAGUACCUGUGAAGAUGCAGGUUACCCGCGACAGGACGGAAAGACCCCGUGGAGCUUUACUGUAGCCUGAUAUUGAAAUUCGGCACAGCUUGUACAGGAUAGGUAGGAGCCUUUGAAACGUGAGCGCUAGCUUACGUGGAGGCGCUGGUGGGAUACUACCCUAGCUGUGUUGGCUUUCUAACCCGCACCACUUAUCGUGGUGGGAGACAGUGUCAGGCGGGCAGUUUGACUGGGGCGGUCGCCUCCUAAAAGGUAACGGAGGCGCUCAAAGGUUCCCUCAGAAUGGUUGGAAAUCAUUCAUAGAGUGUAAAGGCAUAAGGGAGCUUGACUGCGAGACCUACAAGUCGAGCAGGGUCGAAAGACGGACUUAGUGAUCCGGUGGUUCCGCAUGGAAGGGCCAUCGCUCAACGGAUAAAAGCUACCCCGGGGAUAACAGGCUUAUCUCCCCCAAGAGUUCACAUCGACGGGGAGGUUUGGCACCUCGAUGUCGGCUCAUCGCAUCCUGGGGCUGUAGUCGGUCCCAAGGGUUGGGCUGUUCGCCCAUUAAAGCGGUACGCGAGCUGGGUUCAGAACGUCGUGAGACAGUUCGGUCCCUAUCCGUCGUGGGCGUAGGAAAUUUGAGAGGAGCUGUCCUUAGUACGAGAGGACCGGGAUGGACAUACCUCUGGUGUACCAGUUGUCGUGCCAACGGCAUAGCUGGGUAGCUAUGUGUGGACGGGAUAAGUGCUGAAAGCAUCUAAGCAUGAAGCCCCCCUCAAGAUGAGAUUUCCCAACUUCGGUUAUAAGAUCCCUCAAAGAUGAUGAGGUUAAUAGGUUCGAGGUGGAAGCAUGGUGACAUGUGGAGCUGACGAAUACUAAUCGAUCGAAGACUUAAUCAA
rnacentral:rRNA from 1 species